rnacentral:rRNA from 1 species
AUGCAGCGCAAGUGGAAAGAUCCAAAGACCAACAAAUACUACGACUCCUUGGACGAUGUUGCAGGCGGCGUCAUCCACCCAUUCUACGAACGCAUGAAGAAGAAGAUGAAGAGGGAAGACAACAAACUGUGGGCGACCAGCCCGCUGCCAGACAACCUCAUCACGUAUGCAGGAAUAGAUGCGUACGCAACAUACAAGUCAUGGAAGACAAUCGACAACAUCGUGACAGGUUGGGAUAUUUCAAAAGAGCAGGAGGCUGACCCCUACUACCACUGCAACUUCACGGAUGAAGAUGCAUGA